GGGGAAUUUUGCGCAAUGGGGGAAACCCUGACGCAGCAACGCCGCGUGGGUGAUGAAGGCCUUCGGGUCGUAAAGCCCUGUCGGGAGGGAAGAAAUGAUUGAGGGUUAAUACCUCUUGAUCUUGACGGUACCUCCGAAGGAAGCACCGGCUAACUCCGUGCCAGCAGCCGCGGUAAUACGGAGGGUGCAAGCGUUGUUCGGAAUUAUUGGGCGUAAAGCGCGUGUAGGCGGUCUUUUAAGUCUGAUGUGAAAGCCCCGGGCUCAACCUGGGAAGUGCAUUGGAAACUGGGAGACUUGAGUACGGGAGAGGAGAGUGGAAUUCCUAGUGUAGGAGUGAAAUCCGUAGAUAUUAGGAGGAACACCGGUGGCGAAGGCGGCUCUCUGGACCGAUACUGACGCUGAGACGCGAAAGCGUGGGUAGCAAAC
rnacentral:rRNA from 1 species